GUUUUCCAGACCUGAACUCCUUGCUGAAGGAAUAAAAGAGACAGCCACAGACAGCCCUGGGACUCUAGAGAGAGAUUCUGGGGACUCCCUGGUGGAUGAGACUGUCAAACGACAGGGUUUUCAAGAAAAUUACGAUGCCAGGCUCUCACGGAUAGACAUCGCAAACACGCUGAGGGAGCAAGUCCAGGAUCUGUUCAAUAAAAAAUAUGGUGAGCCUUUGGGGAGGGGCCAAGGGAGAGGGGGAGGAGCAAAAAGGGACUGCCCCGCCCCUCGUCGAUUCCAUGCCAU